AUUGAACGCUGGCGGCAGGCUUAACACAUGCAAGUCGAGCGGAGAUGAGGUGCUUGCACCUUAUCUUAGCGGCGGACGGGUGAGUAAUGCUUAGGAAUCUGCCUAUUAGUGGGGGGCAACAUUCCGAAAGGAAUGCUAAUACCGCAUACGUCCUACGGGAGAGAGCAGGGGAUCUUCGGACCUUGCGCUAAUAGAUGAGCCUAAGUCGGAUUAGCUAGUUGGUGGGGUAAAGGCCUACCAAGGCGACGAUCUGUAGCGGGUCAGAGAGGAUGAUCCGCCACACUGGGACUGAGACACGGCCCAGACUCCUACGGGAGGCAGCAGUGGGGAAUAUUGGACAAUGGGGGGAACCCUGAUCCAGCCAUGCCGCGUGUGUGAAGAAGGCCUUAUGGUUGUAAAGCACUUUAAGCGAGGAGGAGGCUACUGAGACUAAUACUCUUGGAUAGUGGACGUUACUCGCAGAAUAAGCACCGGCUAACUCUGUGCCAGCCGCCGCCGUAACAC
rnacentral:rRNA from 1 species